CUGGGGUAAAUAAAGUGCUGUAGAGAAGACCGUCUCCAGCUUCGUGGACUGGAAACAGUCAGAAAGAGUGGAGUAGAAGAGAACAAACUUGACUGGGUAGAGCGAGUGAGGCUGAAUCAGUGGAAAUGGAGGUUUUCAGAUGUAAAAGACCAGAAAAGACACUUGAGCAAGACAUGAAGUAAGAAGACUGGGAACCAGGGAG